rnacentral:rRNA from 1 species
AUUGAACGCUGGCGGCAGGCCUAACACAUGCAAGUCGAACGGUAACAGAAAGCAGCUUGCUGCUUUUCUGACGAGUGGCGGACGGGUGAGUAAUGUCUGGGAAACUGCCUGAUGGAGGGGGAUAACUACUGGAAACGGUAGCUAAUACCGCAUAACGCCGCAAGACCAAUGAGGUGGACCUUCGGGCCUCUUGCCAUCGGAUGUGCCCAGAUGGGAUUAGCUUGUAGGUGGGGUAACGGCUCACCUAGGCGACGAUCCCUAGCUGGUCUGAGAGGAUGACCGGCCACAUUGGAACUGAGACACGGUCCAGACUCCUACGGGAGGCAGCAGUGGGGAAUAUUGCACAAUGGGCGAAAGCCUGAUGCAGCCAUGCCGCGUGUAUGAAGAAGGCCUUCGGGUUGUAAAGUACUUUCAGCGGGGAGGAAGGGAGUAAAGUUAAUACCUUUGCUCAUUGACGUUACCCGAAGAAGAAGCACCGGCUAACUCCGUG